rnacentral:lncRNA from 1 species
AAAGCCAAGGGCUUGGCAAUAAGAAGAUCGUAGUGUUCUAAUUAUGCUGUUUGGAUAAUUUUCCAUUGUCUUUAUUAUUUGUUUAUUUUAUUCACAUGUACAGUGGAUGCUUUAAAGUGUGAAAAUCAGAUUUGAAAGCCUGAGCUACCUAAAAUUGUAGAUUAAAAACUCUAGAUAGAGAGUUUGUUUAAAUUUUAUUCAUAAUAUUUUUCACUCUCCCCUUUUUCCUCCCCUGUUCAGCUCUUCCGAUAAAAUAAUGCACAUUUAGAGAUUUCUGUUCUUAAUCUACGGAACCAAGAUGAUCUCCAGUGAUGCUUCAGGAAGUGCUGGCUGAAUAGAGCAGGAAGUGUGAACGAACAGCAGCUAGAAUAUGAGAUGCAAUCAACCAAAGUCAUUUAAAAGUGUUCCAGCCAGAGAUAUGCAAAAAGCUUGUAAUGAAACUGCAAGCCAAGUGAAAACAGAGCAACAAGAUAUUGCAUGUAGUAGAGAGUGGCUCCUGCUUCAAGUAGAAGAAAAAGAAGAGAGGGCAACCUCCUGGAAGCAGAUUGGGUCUUGUAUGCUGAGGGAACCCAAAGGAAGCAUCUUCAUGCUCAGUUGUGUUACUGCUGCCAUGUAG